AUUAUGGGUCAGAACCAACAUGGAAGCAGAGAGAAACAUAUGGUCCUAAAAUAACCUUAUUCUGCAUGUGGUCCAGGAAGUUCACAUGUAUUGCAGAGCCUCCACCUGGGACUUGCAUGACAAUGGUGAAGAUCAAGAGGAAGCUACUGACACAAUGAAGGAAGCCCUGACCACUGCCAGAGAUUGAGGACCUUCAUUGCUACCGUAAACGGCAGUAGCAUAACAGACAAGAGCUGCACUUAAAGGAGCAUCUAGCUCUGUGCGGAUUUUAGGCAUUCCCGUUGAGAAGGCUACAGACCAACUUCACCAUGUAUCAGCAAGAAAAGGGAUUCCAUCCUUCGAUGACCAACUGUAAUGUGGAAAACGGCAAUA